UAAGGAAUAUUGCUCAAUGGGAGAAAUCCUGAAGCAGCAACGCCGCGUGGAGGAUGAAGGGUCUAUGACUUGUAAACUCCUGUAAAGAAGGAAAAAAUUCCCAUUAGAUGGGAGAUGAUGGUACUUCUGGAGUAAGCCCCGGCUAACUACGUGCCAGCAGCCGCGGUAAUACGUAGGGGGCAAGCGUUGUCCGGAUUUACUGGGUGUAAAGGGUGCUCAGGCGGAUUUGUAAGUCAGAGGUGAAAUCUUACAGCUUAACUGUGAAACUGCCUUUGAUACUGCAAGCCUAGAGUAUGGAAGAGAGUGAUGGAAUAACUGGUGUAGCAGUGAAAUGCGUAGAUAUCAGAUAGAACACCAAUGGCGAAGGCAGUCACUUGGUCCAUUACUGACGCUAAAGCACGAAAGCGUGGGUAGCAAACA
rnacentral:rRNA from 1 species